ACUCCUACGGGAGGCAGCAGUGGGGAAUAUUGCACAAUGGGCGCAAGCCUGAUGCAGCCAUGCCGCGUGUAUGAAGAAGGCCUUCGGGUUGUAAAGUACUUUCAGCAGUGAGGAAGGUGGAUAUGUUAAUAGCAUAUUCAUUUGACGUUAGCUGCAGAAGAAGCACCGGCUAACUCCGUGCCAGCAGCCGCGGUAAUACGGAGGGUGCGAGCGUUAAUCGGAAUUACUGGGCGUAAAGCGCAUGCAGGUGGUUUGUUAAGUCAGAUGUGAAAGCCCGGGGCUCAACCUCGGAAUUGCAUUUGAAACUGGCAAACUAGAGUACUGUAGAGGGGGGUAGAAUUUCAGGUGUAGCGGUGAAAUGCGUAGAGAUCUGAAGGAAUACCGGUGGCGAAGGCGGCCCCCUGGACAGAUACUGACACUCAGAUGCGAAAGCGUGGGGAGCAAACAGGAUUAGAUACCCUGUAGCCUCUGC
rnacentral:rRNA from 1 species